UACAGAGGUCUCAAGCGUUGUUCGGAUUCAUUGGGCGUAAAGGGUGCGUAGGCGGCGCGGUAAGUCGGGUGUGAAAUCUUGGAGCUUAACUCCGAAACUGCAUUCGAUACUGCCGUGCUUGAGGACUGGAGAGGAGACUGGAAUUUACGGUGUAGCGGUGAAAUGCGUAGAUAAUCGUAAGGAAGACCAGUGGCGAAGGCGGGUCUCUGGACAGUUCCUGACGCUGAGGCACGAAGGCCAGGGGAGCGAAACGGG
rnacentral:rRNA from 1 species